rnacentral:lncRNA from 1 species
UUCGUCGAUUGAUGGCGCAACUGAACUGGAGCGCGUUGUCCUCAUCCUUCCUCAGCAAACUCAGCAGCUCAAAGAACUCCAAACAAACGGUGAAAACUCCAGGAGUCGACUGAGAUAGCGAGCAGCUGAACAGAAAACACUCGAAGCACCACCAACACAAACUAUGGUUGGGAAUCACGUUUUAUACGUGCCCCACGGUGGGCGCCAAAUGAUCCUGCCUGUUGACUUAGCGCAAGAGCGUUGCCUCGUCACGAUCUUUCUCACCAGUUUGACACCACGUGCCCUCCAAGUCCGCUCCACAGAUAGCCU